GGAGAGAGCGCGACACUCAGUAAGAUGCACUGCACCUGCAGGCCGUUGGCGUGCACCACCUCUCGCCUGUCUACCAGGAAGAGCCAGAGCAUGCAGUAGGCACCGGUGCAUGGCCAUAGCAACACUGCGAUGUGCUUGGCUCGCGCCACCGUGCGCAGCGCCUGGGCACGGAGCCGGUGGCAGAGGGCCAGGUGGCACGGCACCGUGAAAGCUGUGAUGGAGCCCGUGGAGGCGUUGAUGCCCGCGUCCUGCAGCUCUCCUGUCCUAGUUGCCAGCUGCCUGCCGGUGAAGGACACAGCCGCCAGCAGUUCUGGGUUAACCUUGUCAGCCUGCACUCAGGAGGAAGAGGCAAGUUCUCCGUCCCGGAAUCUCGGCAUUGUUCCAGGAAAGUGCUGGCAGGUGGACAGGAACUCACUGCAGCCAGGGGGAGGUGCUGGCGUCGCAAGAAGGGAAACCCCUCCCCGGGCUCCGGCUGUUACUGCACGAGGUGGCUCAUGGAGAACUGAGUAUGGAUGGGCUGGUUGGCAAUCGAGCUGCAGAGAGAGCCUUGUGCCCUUGGCUUCCAUCAGGACCCCCAGGUCGCCAUGAGAGAGGUUCAGGCUGCUCUGAGGACGUAGACGCCGUCACGGAUGUCCUGUCCCGUCAGCACUUGGAACAGUUCCAGCCCCUGCCACUCUCUGCCUGUAUCCACAUGAGAAACCCCAAGUGAGAGCUUCCCAGCCAGGCCCAGCCAACAGAGCUGACAGCCGCUGUCAG
rnacentral:lncRNA from 1 species